rnacentral:misc_RNA from 1 species
GUGAAUCAUCAAAUUUUUGAACGCAAAUUGCACUCUCCGGUUUUCCGGGAGAGUAUGCCUGUUUGAGGGUCAGCCUAAAAAAAAUCGACAUUGUUGCUGUUUUAUGGUGACUUUGUUCGAGAAGGGUUUAUCUUAAAUCUCGGUUUAGCCAACUUAAAAAUUUUUUUUACGAUUCUAAGAAUGUUUCUAAGAUUUUUCUUGUAGGUUUAGGGUAU